rnacentral:lncRNA from 1 species
UGGAGUCGAAGCUCAUGCCUGAGUCGUCGUCUUCAUAUGGAUCCUGGGCAUCCUGGAAUUGUGCAAGAUUGUCUUCUUCAUCUGAUCUAGCAGAAUUAUUAUCUGUAGUAUUUAUUUCUGGCACAGCUCUGUCUAAAUUAGUGGGUUGUUCGUCUGAUUGUUUAUCCAUGUAUUUAUCUUGUGUCUGUUUGCUGAAGAAUCUGUCUAGAGUCUGUUUAAUUAUUGUCUCUAUUGUCUCAUUUUUUCUCUUAGAUAUUAGAGUCUUCUUUAAAGUCCUAUGUCCAGAUUUCGUUAAUUUAGCUUUUGAUGAAGAACACCCUUCAUCCUCACUUUUUGGCAAAGUGACAGNN